rnacentral:snRNA from 1 species
AUUUUUGUCGCGGGUUAAUACAAAAAAAAAAAAGAUCAAGUGUAGUAUCUGUUCUUCUCAGUUUAAUAUACCUGGGACGGAAACGAUUCGUUUCCUCUAUGUAUUAAUCGGAUUUUUGAACUUGGAGUAUGGUGCUGGAGCUUGCUCCACCCUGCUCACGGGUUGUCCUGGUAUUGCAGUACCUCCAGGUUCGGCUCACGUUUC